rnacentral:rRNA from 1 species
AACUUCUGAAUGUUGACCUCGGAUCAGGUAGGAAUACCCGCUGAACUUAAGCAUAUCAAUAAGCGGAGGAAAAGAAACCAACAGGGAUUGCCCUAGUAACGGCGAGUGAAGCGGCAACAGCUCAAAUUUGAAAUCUGGCUUUCGGGCCCGAGUUGUAAUUUGUAGAGGAUACUUUUGAUGCGGUGCCUUCCGAGUUCCCUGGAACGGGACGCCAUAGAGGGUGAGAGCCCCGUCUGGUUGGAUGCCAAAUCUCUGUAAAGUUCCUUCGACGAGUCGAGUAGUUUGGGAAUGCUGCUCUAAAUGGGAGGUAUAUGUCUUCUAAAGCUAAAUAUUGGCCAGAGACCGAUAGCGCACAAGUAGAGUGAUCGAAAGAUGAAAAGCACUUUGAAAAGAGAGUUAAAAAGUACGUGAAAUUGUUGAAAGGGAAGCGUUUAUGACCAGACUUGGACUUGGUUAAUCAUCUGGGGUUCUCCCCAGUGCACUUUUCCAGUUCAGGCCAGCAUCAGUUUUCGCCGGGGGAUAAAGGCUUCGGGAAUGUAGCUCUCUUCGGGGAGUGUUAUAGCCCGUUGUGUAAUACCCUGGCGGAGACUGAGGUUCGCGCUUCUGCAAGGAUGCUGGCGUAAUGGUCAUCAACGACCCGUCUUGAAACACGGACCAAGG